rnacentral:rRNA from 1 species
CACGUAGGGUGCGAGCGUUGUCCGGAAUUAUUGGGCGUAAAGAGCUCGUAGGCGGUGUGUCGCGUCGGCCGUGAAAACCUGCAGCUUAACUGUGGGCGUGCGGGCGAUACGGGCAGACUGGAGUACUGCAGGGGAGACUGGAAUUCCUGGUGUAGCGGUGAAAUGCGCAGAUAUCAGGAGGAACACCGAUGGCGAAGGCAGGUCUCUGGGCAUUAACUGACGCUGAGGAGCGAAAACAUGGGGAGCGAACAGG